CUCUCUGAAGGCUGAGCACCAGGUGGACCUGACUCUUACCUUCCUCCAGGCCUUUCUCUAUGGAGACUUCAUCUUCUGAACCCCAUGUCUGGGUCUUAUAAGGGAUCUCAGUCUGUCUGAAACUCCCCUUGUACCUCACUGCGUCGUCACAGCUGCCCUCUCAGAGGAAGAAGCGCCCCUGGGUGAGUCAGGCUUGCGGGUAGACCAGAAGCCUGUGCCCAGGGGAAGCCUCCCACAGAGAGCUGCCUUCAAGCCACGUGCUUCGUUUUGGAAGCCACCACUGUUCCAGUAACGUAAGACAGAAGUAAGAAGUGAAAAGAAGCAUCCUGCUCACAGCAGGGGAACCCAGACGGCCACCAGGACUUGCAGUAUCUCUGGACACUUGAACAGAGACCUGAAGAAGGCCCAUGGACUUUCCCUGUAAACCCCAUUAUCAGUUAUAAGAUGGACCAACUACUAAGCAUGAUCUCGGCUGCUGCUCAGUUAUCCCAGAUCUGAUGGAGGCCACACCGCCGUUCCAGAGGCUGGAAAGGGCUCUGCUUAGAGUCUUUAUAAAAAGACCGUUUCCUUAAUUACUUCAACCCUUGCUGUCCUGUGCUUUUCUCUUGGCUCCAGACAGCCUUCUACAUGCAUUUCCUGAAGCCAAGGCUGGCUUCAUGUGCAGGCAAACAGUAGCAGACAGUGCUGGGUGCUCUCAGAGACUUCCCUUCCCCACACACCCAAACUUCUGACUCUUCUGCUGGAUGGAGAUCCCUUGAACAGCUCAACUUGAUAUAUGUGACAACUAUCUAGAGUGUUUAUACAAAGUCCUGAUGGUUGGGUCCCACCCACACCGAAUGAAUCUGACUCUCUGGGGUUGGUCCCAGGCAACAAAGGGUACUUUUGAAAAGUUUCCUGGGUGAUUCUGACGUGCAGCCAAGUUGAGAAGUGCUGGCCUAGACCAAUCCUCUUAUUAUAGAGGGAGAAAGUGGCUUGUCCAAAGUCACAUGGCCCUCAGUGGCAGGAUUGGAAUGAAAAUCCAGGUCUUUUGACUCGUAGAACAAUGUCCGUUUCUAAAAGAAACAGAGGCUGGAAAAGAUAAGUCUCCCUGGGGAGAGGCACCUGGCCUUCAGGCACAGAGAUUGUUGGAUGAUGGAGACUCAUUAGGAGAAGCGGAGGGUGGGCCUUCGAGGGGGAUGGCGAGGACCAGGCCUUGCAAAAAGCCAGGGGACCUGGAACAAAAGCUGAGUUUUACCAACAUUACAGCUUGGCCAAGGAUGAGCACAGCCAGAGUCGCAAACAUCAGAUUCUGCCCUCUGGUUGCAAAAGAAAACAUGUGGAUGGCCUCUGUCAAGGAAGAGGAGCAUGCACCCUUUGGGAAGAAUGACUAUUCCAGCGAAACGAGCAUGUCCACCAGAAAUGACUCUCCUUAGUGCAUUUUACACGUAGAAGAAGAUCGUCCCUUCCACUGAAGAAGGAAGAUUGUCCUUUCCCUUUGAGGCCCUCACUGUGGGAG
rnacentral:lncRNA from 1 species